GACGAACGCUGGCGGCGUGCUUAACACAUGCAAGUCGAACGCUGAAGCUCAGCUUGCUGGGUGGAUGAGUGGCGAACGGGUGAGUAACACGUGAGUAACCUGCCCUCUUCUUUGGGAUAACGCCCGGAAACGGGUGCUAAUACUGGAUAUUCACUGAUUCUCGCAUGGGGGUUGGUGGAAAGGUUUUUUCUGGUGGGGGAUGGGCUCGCGGCCUAUCAGCUUGUUGGUGGGGUGAUGGCCUACCAAGGCUUUGACGGGUAGCCGGCCUGAGAGGGUGACCGGUCACAUUGGGACUGAGAUACGGCCCAGACUCCUACGGGAGGCAGCAGUGGGGAAUAUUGCACAAUGGGCGAAAGCCUGAUGCAGCGACGCCGCGUGAGGGAUGGAGGCCUUCGGGUUGUAAACCUCUUUCGCUCAUGGUCAAGCCGAAGCGUUGGGUUGUGGUGAGGGUAGUGGGUAAAGAAGCGCCGGCUAACUACGUG
rnacentral:rRNA from 1 species